UAGGGAAUCUUCCGCAAUGGGCGAAAGCCUGACGGAGCAACGCCGCGUGAGUGAUGAAGGUCUUCGGAUCGUAAAACUCUGUUAUUAGGGAAGAACAAAUGUGUAAGUAACUAUGCACGUCUUGACGGUACCUAAUCAGAAAGCCACGGCUAACUACGUGCCAGCAGCCGCGGUAAUACGUAGGUGGCAAGCGUUAUCCGGAAUUAUUGGGCGUAAAGCGCGCGUAGGCGGUUUUUUAAGUCUGAUGUGAAAGCCCACGGCUCAACCGCGGAGGGUCAUUGGAAACUGGAAAACUUGAGUGCAGAAGAGGAAAGUGGAAUUCCAUGUGUAGCGGUGAAAUGCGCAGAGAUAUGGAGGAACACCAGUGGCGAAGGCGACUUUCUGGUCUGUAACUGACGCUGAUGUGCGAAAGCGUGGGGAUCAAACAGG
rnacentral:rRNA from 1 species